rnacentral:tRNA from 1 species
GUUCAUGAAACGCUUUGGGCUCAGGCCUGUCGCUAGUGUUGCCCUUGGGGUGAUCGGCGCUGGGGGGCUGGGCUC